rnacentral:rRNA from 1 species
AAACUUAAAGGAAUUGACGGGGGCCCGCACAAGCGGUGGAGCAUGUGGUUCAAUUCGACGCAACGCGAAGAACCUUACCAGCCCUUGACAUGUCCAGGACCGGUCGCAGAGACGCGACCUUCUCUUCGGAGCUUGGAACACAGGUGCUGCAUGGCUGUCGUCAGCUCGUGUCGUGAGAUGUUGGGUUAAGUCCCGCAACGAGCGCAACCCUCGUCCUUAGUUGCCAUCAUUAAGUUGGGCACUCUAAGGAGACUGCCGGUGAUAAGCCGCGAGGAAGGUGGGGAUGACGUCAAGUCCUCAUGGCCCUUACGGGCUGGGCUACACACGUGCUACAAUGGCGGUGACAAUGGGCAGCGAACCAGCAAUGGGGAGCUAAUCUCAAAAAGCCGUCUCAGUUCGGAUUGCACUCUGCAACUCGAGUGCAUGAAGUUGGAAUCGCUAGUAAUCGUGGAUCAGCAUGCCACGGUGAAUACGUUCCCGGGCCUUGUACACACCGCCCGUCACACCAUGGGAGUUGGUUUUACCUUAAGACGGUGCGCUAACCGCAAGGAAGCAGCCGGCCACGGUAAGGUCAGCGACUGGGGUGAAGUCGUAACAAGGUAGCCGUAGGGGAACCUGCGGCUGGAUCACCUCCUUUAUG